GACAGAAAGGCCAGGGGCUCCGGCCUGAGCUGAGUGGGCGGGGCAAGAGGGCAGAGCUCAAACUGAUGGGGCAAGUGUUUCUGCAGGUCUCCACCUCCUCGUGGGUGUGUGAUGGGGAGCAAUCAACCAAGUCUUUUGUCCACAGAUGAUCCACAGUGGUUUGUCUGAUGUCUCACGGCCUUCUCUUGUUGGAAAGGAGAUGACUCCUUGUCAUGUUAUUGACUUGAACUGGGACUGUAUAGAACAUGGUUGCAACCAAGGUCCCUGAUGUGGUCGCACCAAAACUUGUGUAAAGGGGGUCAAAUGAGAUGUCUAAGAAAAGGUUGUGGUUGGCUGGUUAUGAUUAUGCUUUCUGUAUGUGUGUAUUAUUUUGGUAGUUGAAGUUAUGAAUAUUGGCUCUGUACUGUUUGUAUUUCAAACUUAUGCUCUCCUUCUGGGUGACAUCUCAAACAAGUUGGUGUCAGCUCGGCCUAGCCUGCUUGAUGGCCCAUUAAGGACCAUCAGAUAUACAACUGACUCAUUGUGAGAAGGCAGACAUGCCUUGUGACUCAGCAAGGUAUGCAUGGACCUGCCUAUGGACAGAACUCUGAGAUUUUUCCAUGCCAUGCGAUGGAAUACUUACCUUUGGAACAAAGAAAGAAAAACCACCUGGCAAGAGAAUAUAAAAAGUUGCUGCAGCUCCUCCAUCUGGUCUUCAAUCCUGCUCCAUACCUUUGGAUGGACUUUGCUACAAAUGGAAGCUCUACACAAAGGACUGAUGAUCCAUUCCAGCAGGGGAUGUACUCCAGAGACUUGAUUUGAACCUGCGGUUUAUUCUAUCACUGCUACAAGCCUGAACAAAGAACUUUGCCAUUACUGUUUGUAAUUGAUUCCAUUUAACCAAUUCUAGCUCUCAUCUAUAUUUUUUUCCUUUUAUGAAUAAACCUUUAGAUUUUAGAUUAUAAA